GUGGGGAAUAUUGGACAAUGGGGGGAACCCUGAUCCAGCCAUGCCGCGUGUGUGAAGAAGGCCUUUUGGUUGUAAAGCACUUUAAGCGAGGAGGAGGCUACCGAGAUUAAUACUCUUGGAUAGUGGACGUUACUCGCAGAAUAAGCACCGGCUAACUCUGUGCCAGCAGCCGCGGUAAUACAGAGGGUGCAAGCGUUAAUCGGAUUUACUGGGCGGAAAGCGCGCGUAGGUGGCCAAUUAAGUCAAAUGUGAAAUCCCCGAGCUUAACUUGGGAAUUGCAUUCGAUACUGGUUGGCUAGAGUAUGGGAGAGGAUGGUAGAAUUCCAGGUGUAGCGGUGAAAUGCGUAGAGAUCUGGAGGAAUACCGAUGGCGAAGGCAGCCAUCUGGCCUAAUACUGACACUGAGGUGCGAAAGCAUGGGGAGCAAACAGGAUUAGAAACCCGGGUAGUCC
rnacentral:rRNA from 1 species